rnacentral:misc_RNA from 1 species
CAAAAAUUAUAUAUAUAAAAAAAAGUGUCAGCCAUGACUAACCAGCUAUUUCAAAAAAGGAUAAAAAAAUAAUAAUAAUAAUAUCGCGUGAAUUUAAAAAUCGUACUCAAAGCAGAUCAUUUAACCAUUAACACACCAAAAAUCAUCAUUUCGGGCAUAAUUACUACACAUAAUAAGCAUUUAACAUGAAAUGAAAUCAGGAUCAGAAACAAGUAAACGAAGAGAAAACAAAAGCAAAAUUAGGGUUUUGAUAUUUUCAGGGAUAAAAGAGAUACAGAAAGCAGCUUUAUAUUAG